UACGUAGGGUGCGAGCGUUGUCCGGAAUUAUUGGGCGUAAAGAGCUCGUAGGCGGUCUGUCGCGUCGGUCGUGAAAACUUGGGGCUUAACCCUGAGCUUGCGGUCGAUACGGGCAUGACUGGAGUUCGGCAGGGGGAGACUGGAAUUCCUGGUGUAGCGGUGAAAUGCGCAGAUAUCAGGAGGAACACCGGUGGCGAAGGCGGGUCUCUGGGCCGAUACUGACGCUGAGGAGCGAAAGCGUGGGGAGCAAACAGG
rnacentral:rRNA from 1 species